rnacentral:other from 12 species
GCAACACUUUAUAGCAAAUCCGUUCGAUGCCUUGAAAU